UACGUAGGGGGCAAGCGUUGUCCGGAUUCAUUGGGCGUAAAGAGCGUGUAGGCGGCCAGGUAGGUCGGUUGUGAAAACUGGAGGCUCAACCUUCAGAGGUCGACCGAAACCAUCUGGCUAGAGUCCGGGAGAGGAGAGUGGAAUUCCUGGUGUAGCGGUGAAUGCGCAGAUAUCAGGAAGAACACCCGUGGCGAAAGCGGCUCUCUGGAACGGUACUGACGCUGAGACGCGAAAGCGUGGGGAGCGAACAGG
rnacentral:rRNA from 1 species